UGGGAAAUGUAAGGUAUUAAAAAGUAAGUGGUUUUGCUAUUGAUCAUAUAUUAUUGUGAUUUCAGAGUUGAUCUACGAUAUAUCUCAAGUUAGAGGGUUUGCAACGGUUCAAGAUAUACACAAUGAAGUCGGUACAAGAGUAUAAUGGAAGUGUUCUUGAUGAUGAAUAUACAAUGGUUAAAUAGGUUGAAUACCUUAAAACGUGUUGUGGACAUAAAGGUGAUAAAAUACUAUUUGGGAUGUCAUGCUACGAUUUGUUCUUGUACCGUCAAGUGAUGUCGUUAGUGAUUGCAGUCAUUGUCGAUUGAUAGGUGACAAGCGAUGCAUUAUUGUAGAAGAAAUACAUAAAGGUGAAAGGUACUACUUGAUGGCAGUUACGGAAGCACUGGAAAUAUAAUGAUAAUUUUCACUUCGACAAGUAGAUAAUUGAGAGAAACUUGUAGAAGGUAUAGGAGAUCGGAAUGUGUCAAAAGAUUGGAGGUUAUGUAGUAGAAGCGGAUUACAUGUUUUUUGUUAGUUAUUGAAGAGUGAAUGAUUAUUCUGAAUUAUAUUAUGUUAUAGUAGCUGCUGACCGUGAUUCAAUCGAAUAGUGCUACUUUUUAGGAAGUCCGAAGAUGGAAAAUAGAAGAAUAUGAAUGUUCAUAGGAUAAGACGUUACAUGUACAUUUUAUAUUUAGUGAGUAAUAGUAUGAAGGAUUCAGUAUUAUAAAUCACGUUAUUUUCAAUUAUUAUUACUGUUUCUAAAUAUAGUUUAAUAUAAUAUAUGUGUGACUAUGAAUAUUAAAUGUAGAAAUACCAUUAUGGUGGAUGCGCUGUGUGGUAUUUUGGAAUGUGAA